rnacentral:rRNA from 1 species
GGACUACCCGGGUAUCUAAUCCUGUUUGCUACCCACGCUUUCGCGCCUCAGCGUCAGAAAUUGGCCAGCUUGCUGCCUUCGCCAUGGGUGUUCCUCCUGAUAUCAACGCAUUUCACCGCUACACCAGGAAUUCCACAAGCCUCUCCAAUCCUCCAGCCCGCCAGUAUGUAAAGCAGUUCCCGGGUUGAGCCCUGGGGAUUUCACUUCACACUUAACGAGCCGCCUACGCGCCCUUUACGCCCAGUAAAUCCGGACAACGCUUGCACCCUACGUCUUACCGCGGCUGCUGGCAC